CACAUCUCCAGCACACAAGAACUUCCAAAUGCCUGAACCGCAGCGGCCAGACAUUCCUCCAGAACCUCCUCCCCCAGGAGCUUGCUACAAGUGCCAGAAAUCUGACCACCAGGCCAAGGAAUGCCUGCAGCCCAGGAUUCCUCCUAAGCCGUGUAGCAUCUGUGCGGGACCCCACUGAAAAUCAGACUGUUCAACUCACCUGGCAGCCACUCCUAGAGCCCCUGGAACUCUGGCCCAAGGCUCUCUGACUGACGCCUUCUCGGAUUAACGGCUGAAGACUGAUGCUGCCCGAUCACCUUGGAAGCCCUGUAGACCAUCAUGGAUGCCGAGCUUCAGGUAACUCUCACAGUGGAAGAUACACAUCCAGAUGGCCGGUGCCUGCCUUAACUGAUGACAUUCCACCACAAAAGAAGUGAAAAUGGCCUGUUCCUGCCUUAACUGAUGACAUUGUCUUGUGAAAUUCCUUCUCCUGGCUCAUCCUGGCUCAAAAGCUCCCUCACUGAGUACCUUGUGACCCCCACUCCUGCCAGAGAACAACCCCCCUUCUUCCUUUACCUACCCAAAUCCUAUAAAACGGCCCCACCCCAUCUCCCUUCGCUGACUCUCUUUUCGGACUCAGCCCACCUGCACCCAGGUUAAAUAAACAGCUUUAUUGCUC
rnacentral:lncRNA from 10 species